GAUGAACGCUAGCGGCAGGCUUAAUACAUGCAAGUCGAGGGGCAGCAUGAGUGUAGCAAUACAUUUGAUGGCGACCGGCAAACGGGUGCGGAACACGUACACAACCUUCCGAUAAGUGGGGAAUAGCCCAGAGAAAUUUGGAUUAAUACCCCGUAACAUAAAGAGGUGGCAUCAUCUUUAUAUUAUAGCUACGGCGCUUAUUGAUGGGUGUGCGGCUGAUUAGAUAGUUGGCGGGGUAACGGCCCACCAAGUCUACGAUCAGUAGCUGAUGUGAGAGCAUGAUCAGCCACACGGGCACUGAGACACGGGCCCGACUCCUACGGGAGGCAGCAGUAAGGAAUAUUGGUCAAUGGACGCAAGUCUGAACCAGCCAUGCCGCGUGAAGGAUUAAGGUCCUCUGGAUUGUAAACUUCUUUUAUCUGGGACGAAAAAAGGCGAUUCCUCGUCACUUGACGGUACCAGAUGAAUAAGCACCGGCUAACUCCGUGCCAGCCGCCGCAGUAAGAC
rnacentral:rRNA from 1 species